CGGAGGAGCAUGUGGUUUAAUUCGAUGAUACGCGAGGAACCUUACCUGGGCUCGAACGUAAGAUGACUGUAGGUGAAAGCUUACAUCUCUUCGGAGCAUUUUACGAGGUGCUGCAUGGUUGUCGUCAGCUCGUGCCGUGAGGUGUCGGGUUAGGUCCCAUAACGAGCGCAACCCCUACCUUUAGUUGCCAUCAGGUUAAGCUGGGGACUCUAAAGGAACUGCCUACGCAAGUAGUGAGGAAGGCGGGGAUGACGUCAAAUCAGCACGGCCCUUACGCCCAGGGCUACACACGUGCUACAAUGGCCGAUACAGAGGGCAGCUACCUGGUGACAGGAUGCAAAUCUCCAAAGUCGGUCUCAGUUCGGAUCGGAGUCUGCAACCCGACUCCGUGAAGUUGGAUUCGCUAGUAAUCGCGCAUCAGCCAUGGCGCGGUGAAUACGUUCCCGGGCCUU
rnacentral:rRNA from 1 species